UACGUAGGUGGCAAGCGUUGUCCGGAUUUAUUGGGUUUAAAGGGUGCGUAGGCGGUUCUGUAAGUCAGUGGUGAAAUACUCUAGCUUAACUAGAGGGGUGCCAAUGAUACUGCAGGGCUUGAGUACAGAUGAGGUAGGCGGAAUUGACGGUGUAGCGGUGAAAUGCAUAGAUAUCGUCAAGAACACCUAUAGCGAAGGCAGCUUACUGGGCUGUAACUGACGCUGAGGCACGAAAGUGUGGGGAUCAAACAGG
rnacentral:rRNA from 1 species